rnacentral:tmRNA from 1 species
GGGGGUGAUAUAGGUUUGACGUGCUCUGAAGGAUAUAGUUUUUGCUCGUUGUAAGCGUUUCUUCGUCAUAGAAACUUUAAAAUAAUUGCUAACGAUAAUGAAUUAGCACUCGCUGCUUAAUCUAAUUAGGUAAGCGCGGCUUUGGGGCGGCCGGGCAACAGAACGCCCCUUU